AGAGUUUGAUCCUGGCUCAGGAUGAACGCUGGCGGCGUGCUUAACACAUGCAAGUCGAACGAACCUUCGGGUUAGUGGCGGACGGGUGAGUAACGCGUGAGAAUCUGCCCUCAGGAGGGGGAUAACGGCUGGAAACGGCCGCUAAUACCCCAUAUGCCGCAAGGUGAAAUGAAAUUCGCCUGAGGAUGAGCUCGCGUCUGAUUAGCUAGUUGGUGGGGUAAGAGCCUACCAAGGCAUCGAUCAGUAGCUGGUCUGAGAGGAUGAUCAGCCACACUGGGACUGAGACACGGCCCAGACUCCUACGGGAGGCAGCAGUGGGGAAUUUUCCGCAAUGGGCGAAAGCCUGACGGAGCAACGCCGCGUGAGGGAUGAAGGCCUCUGGGCUGUAAACCUCUUUUAUCAAGGAAGAAGAUCUGACGGUACUUGAUGAAUAAGCCACGGCUAAUUCCGUGCCAGCAGCCGCGGUAAUACGGGAGUGGCAAGCGUUAUCCGGAAUUAUUGGGCGUAAAGCGUCCGCAGGCGGUUUUGUAAGUCUGUUGUUAAAGCGUGGAGCUCAACUCCAUUUAAGCAAUGGAAACUGCAAGACUAGAGUGUGGUAGGGGCAGAGGGAAUUCCCGGUGUAGCGGUGAAAUGCGUAGAUAUCGGGAAGAACACCAGUGGCGAAGGCGCUCUGCUGGGCCAUAACUGACGCUCAUGGACGAAAGCCAGGGGAGCGAAAGGGAUUAGAUACCCCUGUAGUCCUGGCCGUAAACGAUGAACACUAGGUGUCGGGGGAAUCGACCCCCUCGGUGUCGUAGCCAACGCGUUAAGUGUUCCGCCUGGGGAGUACGCACGCAAGUGUGAAACUCAAAGGAAUUGACGGGGGCCCGCACAAGCGGUGGAGUAUGUGGUUUAAUUCGAUGCAACGCGAAGAACCUUACCAGGGUUUGACAUCCUGCGAAUCUCUUGGAAACGAGAGAGUGCCUUCGGGAACGCAGUGACAGGUGGUGCAUGGCUGUCGUCAGCUCGUGUCGUGAGAUGUUGGGUUAAGUCCCGCAACGAGCGCAACCCACGUCGUUAGUUGCCAGCAUUUAGUUGGGCACUCUAGCGAGACCGCCGGUGAUAAACCGGAGGAAGGUGUGGAUGACGUCAAGUCAUCAUGCCCCUUACAUCCUGGGCUACACACGUACUACAAUGCUACGGACAAAGGGCAGCAAACUCGCGAGAGCUAGCAAAUCCCAUAAACCGUGGCUCAGUUCAGAUCGUAGGCUGCAACUCGCCUACGUGAAGGAGGAAUCGCUAGUAAUCGCAGGUCAGCAUACUGCGGUGAAUACGUUCCCGGGCCUUGUACACACCGCCCGUCACACCAUGGAAGUUGGCCACGCCCGAAGCCGUUACUCCAACCCUUGUGGAGGAGGAUGUCGAAGGUGGGGCUGAUGACUGGGGUGAAGUCGUAACAAGGUAGCCGUACCGGAAGGUGCGGCUGGAUCACCUCCU
rnacentral:rRNA from 2 species